rnacentral:rRNA from 1 species
UUACCAGACUCCUACGGGAGGCAGCAGUAGGAAAUUUUGCGCAAUGGGGGAAACCCUGACGCAGCAACGCCGCGUGAUUGAUGAAGCCCUUCGGGGUGUAAAGAUCUGUCAGUGGGGACGAAACUUGACGGUACCCACAGAGGAAGCAUCGGCUAACUCCGUGCCAGCAGCCGCGGUAAUACGGAGGAUGCGAGCGUUAUCCGGAUUUAUUGGGUUUAAAGGGUGCGCAGGCGGGCUGUUAAGCCGGCGGUAAAAAUUCAGGGCUCAACCCUGUCGAGCCGUCGGAACUGGCUGUCUUGAGAUGUCGAGAGGUAUGCGGAAUGCGCAGUGUAGCGGUGAAAUGCUUAGAUAUUGCGCAGAACUCCGAUUGCGAAGGCAGCAUACCGGCGGCGAUCUGACGCUAAGGCACGAAAGCGUGGGUAUCGAACAGGAUUAGAUACCCUAGUA